AAGGAUCAUUAUCGAAUAAACUUGAACAGGCUGUUGCUGGUCCCAGGACGAUGUGCACGCUUGUCAUCUUUAUCAUUUCUCCCAACUGUGCACGUAUUGUAGACCCUGGAUGGAGAGGUUUUGGAUUCGUUCCGAGUGGGGACUGCUGUGCUUCCGAAGAGAGGUCGGCUUUCCCUUUUCAUCCUCCAGGUCUAUGUCAUUUUUGUUCACAACCUUCAUGUCUAGAAUGUCGAGUAAAGGUCCUUUUUUGUACCUAUAAAAAAGUUAUACAACUUUCAGCAACGGAUCUCUUGGCUCUC
rnacentral:misc_RNA from 1 species